rnacentral:rRNA from 1 species
UACGUAGGGGGCAAGCGUUGUCCGGAUUUAUUGGGCGUAAAGAGCGUGUAGGCGGUUAGGUAGGUCCGUUGUGAAAACUCGAGGCUCAACCUCGAGACGCCGAUGGAAACCAUGUGGCUAGAGUCCGGAAGAGGAGAGUGGAAUUCCUGGUGUAGCGGUGAAAUGCGCAGAUAUCAGGAAGAACACCCGUGGCUAAGGCGGCUCUCUAGUACGGUACUGACGCUGAGACGCGAAAGCGUGGGGAGCGAACAGG